GAGUUUGAUCGUGGCUCAGAUUGAACGCUGGCGGCAGGCCUAACACAUGCAAGUCGAGCGGAUGAAGGGAGCUUGCUCCUGGAUUCAGCGGCGGACGGGUGAGUAAUGCCUAGGAAUCUGCCUGGUAGUGGGGGAUAACGUCCGGAAACGGGCGCUAAUACCGCAUACGUCCUGAGGGAGAAAGUGGGGGAUCUUCGGACCUCACGCUAUCAGAUGAGCCUAGGUCGGAUUAGCUAGUUGGUGGGGUAAAGGCCUACCAAGGCGACGAUCCGUAACUGGUCUGAGAGGAUGAUCAGUCACACUGGAACUGAGACACGGUCCAGACUCCUACGGGAGGCAGCAGUGGGGAAUAUUGGACAAUGGGCGAAAGCCUGAUCCAGCCAUGCCGCGUGUGUGAAGAAGGUCUUCGGAUUGUAAAGCACUUUAAGUUGGAGGAGGGCAGUAAGUUAAUACCUUGCUGUUUUGACG
rnacentral:rRNA from 1 species